rnacentral:rRNA from 1 species
UAAUAGAAAUAAGUCGGGAAGAAAGUAUUUAUCGCCUCGAAAGGGAGGGGGGGUGCGGCCUAUCAGGUAGUUGGUGAGGUAAUGGCUCACCAAGCCUAUGACGGGUAGCCGGUCUGAGAGGAUGUCCGGCCGCAAUGGAACUGAGAACGGUCCAUACUCCUACGGGAGGCAGCAGUGGGGAAUAUUGGACAAUGGGCGAAAGCCUGAUCCAGCGAUUCUGCGUGAAGGAUGAAUCCUCGUGGGGUGUAAACUUCUUUUCUGGGAGAAGACGAAUGACGGUAUCUCAGGAAUAAGAGACGGCUAACUACGUG